rnacentral:misc_RNA from 1 species
UAUUUUCAAAUCAUUUAACAUCAGUUCACAGUGCUAGAUGCUACACAUGUUCAUGUGCAUGUGCGUGAAUGAGUGUUAAUGAGGAUUUCUUUAGGAGAUGGGUUGAUAUUUGUAUUUGGGCUUAGUUAACUUGUAAGUUGUUAGCAUACCUGCUUCUUGGCUUUUUUUCCUCACCUCUGAAUGGAAAACAAGAUGGUAAUAUGACAAAAUAAUGUACGCACAAUGGAUAAAAAAAUCAACAAUAUCAACAAAUUAAAUGGUCUUAUAGCGACUGUUCGUCUGUUCCAGAACAGCAAUAACAUGCCAAAUUCAGAACAAGCUUGUCUUCUAGACGAGUAUAUUGCGUUAUCACAUGAAAUGAAUCAAUCUUGUGUUAGAUGGUCAUUGAGAGGAGUGGGUUGUUUUCAGAUAGUGCAAGUGCUUAAACAGUUAAAGUCACAGUCGUCACUGUAGUUUAUGCUCAUUAUUUAAAGCAAUGGCAAAAUUUUCUCAUGUGUCAUAGCGUCAAUUAAAUAGUAGUAAAUUGCUAGCUAACAAUAUUUGAAGACACACUUCCUUUGUCUAACAUGAUCAUAUGUUUUAAGUGUUGCAUACUGAUUUAAUUGAGAUGAACUCUCAGUUAUACUGCUCCCUUUAUUUAGUCCUUAUUCAUGUAGUUUUAUUUAUCUGGUAAUUAUGUUCUCCUACUUUGUUACUUUGCAAAUCACUUUAUAAACAAACUUCCUUCAGAACUUCUGUUUAUUAGGUAACAUCCUAGACUAAUCACUGCAUCUAGGUAUUUAUGAGCAAAUGAGACUCUAAUUUUGCAUUAUAAAUGAUCUUCCUUUAUAACCUCUGCUAAAUAUUCACAUCCUAGUUUAAUGGUUGCAUCUAGUUAGAUAUUUAUGUUCUGCUUUUGCUUUAUUCUAGCUGCCUGGAAUUUGUAAGAUUGGUAGGGGCAUGAGAGGACUUAUAUAUUUUUAAGGUGAUAUUAGGCAAAUUUGAUGCUGAAAGUGGCAUCACUAUUCAGCAUUCUCUUGGACCAGAUGUAGGAAAGUCCCCUGCAAUUAUUUUUAGACAAAAAUUAUGAGUCUUUUAGCUUCUUAGAAAAAAAAAUAUUGGGAUUUGGGAACUGCCUGUUUAAUUGCAUGGAAAGUUAUUGGCUAUUUAUACUACUUCAUGAGUACUAAUAUUGUGGUGAGUGUCUGAUCAAUCAAAAUUUUGCAUUUGGUUGUUAUGAUGAUAAUUCUCAUGUCUUAUGGCACUUACAGGGCUUUGGCUAAUGUAGCUGUUAAUGGAGGAGGAGAUCAUCGCUGAUUGUUUGUGAUGGUUUCGUUGUCAAGGACCCCUUUAUAUGUUUCUCCUCUUUAGGAUCUUGUUCAGCUUCCAGAUUUUGACUUUUUUUUUAUUAUUAUUUUCUAGAAGAUUACACUCUUCAUCAGGACAAUUUUUCUAAUCCCAUGAUCUGCCAGUGGGUUUCCUUCAAUAUAUCUGUAUCUGCAUUUCCUUGGGAGAUUGUUCUUGUUUCUGAAAAGAUAUACCAAACUCAAUAGUGACUCGCAUUUCUGGAAGAAUGUACAAGUUCAAUGGAAAUAAAUAUAUAUUCCAAUUGCUA